UCAAGUGUGAACUUAAAAGAAAAAAUAUGAUAGAUAAUUACACGGAGCAAGAAGUUGCAAGUAAUGUAUCAAGUGGAUUUACAUCCCAACAAUGGAUAGACCUUGUUCGUUAUUGGUUCUCGGAGAAAAGCAAGUCAUACUCUCAAAUUGGAAAGGUAGCGCGUGCCAAGCAUAUUACUCCUCAUACAACUGGUUCUAUGAGUUUUGCUCGGAAAAGAGAUCAAUUUG